rnacentral:rRNA from 1 species
GACGAAGGGGGCUAGCGUUGUUCGGAAUUACUGGGCGUAAAGCGCGUGUAGGCGGUUAUCCAAGUCGGGUGUGAAAGCCUUGAGCUCAACUCAAGAAAUGCACUCGGUACUGGGUGACUAGAGGACCGGAGAGGAUAGCGGAAUUCCCAGUGUAGAGGUGAAAUUCGUAGAUAUUGGGAAGAACACCGGUGGCGAAGGCGGCUAUCUGGACCGACAUUGACGCUGAGGCGCGAAAAGCGUGGGUAGCAAACAGG